AGGUGACAUGUGCUUAGGACAGGU
rnacentral:miRNA from 1 species